rnacentral:lncRNA from 7 species
GUGGGAGCCCAAGCAACAUACCAAGGCAUAUUGUAGACAUUUCCAAGUGCUCAAACACCCAAGUGCUUAAUAGAAUCACUCGGUGAUUAGCGUAGGUGCUUUGCGAAGUGCUUAGGUUAGUUAGACCGCUUUAGCGCUUGCUCUAGGUGAACCCUAGUUAGUUGAGUGAGUUUUGUAAAACCACACAACCCCUCGGCUCUUGCGUGAGUCGUUGUAAUUGUACCGAGUGGGGCGAGAGUCUUGCGAGACCGUGACAACCGCGUUUGUGUCACGGCCGCCACCGUGUACCGGAGGGAACGAGGCCCGCGGCGUUUCGGCCGGAAGCUCGAUAGUGGAGACGGCGGGGAGCGUCCGAGAGGAGCCGGAAGCGGAGCACCACUUGCGCGUGGAGAAGGCCCGCGGCUCUCUACGGAGUUACUCGACCGAGGUGCUUGGCCCUCGCAUGGGCUUCCCUUUGCGUAGGGGCACCAACGAGGAUUAGUCGGGACCUUGCGUGGUUCCGGAUACCUCGGUAAAAAUACCGGCGUCAUCCACGAGAGUUUGCUUCUCUACUUAGCUCUUUACAUUCCGCAUUUACAUUAAGCAUUUAAGUUUCAAUCUUGCAGUCAUACUUAUUUAGUGUAGAUUGAAACUUAGCCUUUGCGGUAGAGAUAGCAACACUUAGACAAAACCUAGUUUGCACAUUCUAGUUUGAUUACUUGCAUAGGUUUUGCU